AUUGAACGCUGGCGGCAGGCCUAACACAUGCAAGUCGAACGGUAACAGGAAGAAGCUUGUUUCUUUGCUGACGAGUGGCGGACGGGUGAGUAAUGUCUGGGAAACUGCCUGAUGGAGGGGGAUAACUACUGGAAACGGUAGCUAAUACCGCAUAACGUCGCAAGACCAAAGAGGGGGACCUUCGGGCCUCUUGCCAUCGGAUGUGCCCAGAUGGGAUUAGCUAGUAGGUGGGGUAACGGCUCACCUAGGCGACGAUCCCUAGCUGGUCUGAGAGGAUGACCAGCCACACUGGAACUGAGACACGGUCCAGACUCCUACGGGAGGCAGCAGUGGGGAAUAUUGCACAAUGGGCGCAAGCCUGAUGCAGCCAUGCCGCGUGUAUGAAGAAGGCCUUCGGGUUGUAAAGUACUUUCAGCGGGGAGGAAGGGAGUAAAGUUAAUACCUUUGCUCAUUGACGUUACCCGCAGAAGAAGCACCGGCUAACUCCGU
rnacentral:rRNA from 1 species